rnacentral:ncRNA from 1 species
CCUGCACAAAGUAUUUUCGGUGUCAUCCCGUGGCUUGACCACGGGAUCCAGAAAAUAAUAAAAAAUACAGCUAUAAAAAGCUCGAUUUCUCUCGCUUUAUGCUGGAUCCCGUGGUCAAGCCACGGGAUGACAGGAAACAAAGUUCAGUCA